CUACUCCUACGGGAGGCAGCAGUAGGGAAUCUUCCGCAAUGGACGAAAGUCUGACGGAGCAACGCCGCGUGAGUGAUGAAGGCUUUCGGGUCGUAAAACUCUGUUGUUAGGGAAGAACAAGUACGAGAGUAACUGCUCGUACCUUGACGGUACCUAACCAGAAAGCCACGGCUAACUACGUGCCAGCAGCCGCGGUAAUACGUAGGUGGCAAGCGUUAUCCGGAAUUAUUGGGCGUAAAGCGCGCGCAGGCGGUUUCUUAAGUCUGAUGUGAAAGCCCACGGCUCAACCGUGGAGGGUCAUUGGAAACUGGGGAACUUGAGUGCAGAAGAGAAAAGCGGAAUUCCACGUGUAGCGGUGAAAUGCGUAGAGAUGUGGAGGAACACCAGUGGCGAAGGCGGCUUUUUGGUCUGUAACUGACGCUGAGCGCGAGCUUUUUUUAACAAGGAAA
rnacentral:rRNA from 1 species